rnacentral:rRNA from 2 species
GCGGAAGGAUCAUAGUAAUCGUCU